rnacentral:lncRNA from 1 species
CGACUGAAUUAUAAUGCAGGAUGAUAAUGAUAAUAAUAAUCAUCAUCAGGAGAGAGAGUCCGAAAAAAACAAGACAAACUGAAGAUUUAGUGCAGAUUACAUGAUAACGACUGUAUAAAUAUGAAUUAAAAGUCGUAGAAGUCAUUAAUCCAUGUGUGUGUGUGUGUGUGUGUGUGUGUGUGUGUGUGUGUGUGUGUGUCUCAGCAGGUGAUCAGACCCCCGUCGUCCCUCCACCUGUCUGCUUCUGGACCAACUUCUUCCUCUUCCAUCGUCACGCUCUCCCCUCGUCCUCUCCUCCUCCCUCUCCUCCUCUCCCUCAGACUCUCCCUCUCCUCCCCCUCAUCUCCCUCUCCUCCCUCUCUUCUCCCUCAGACUCUCCCUCAGACUCUCCCCCUCCUCUCCCUCUCCUCCUCCCUCUCCUCCUCUCCCUCCUCUCCCUCUCCUCCUCUCCCUCUCCUCUCCUCAGACUCCCCCUCUCCUCUCCCUCUCCUCUCCCUCCUCUCCCUCUCCUCUCCCUCUCCUCCUCUCCCUCUCCUCUCCCUCAGACUCUCCCUCUCCUCCUCUCCCUCUCCUCUCCCUCUCCUCCUCUCCCUCCUCUCCCUCUCCUCUCCUCAGACUCUCCCUCAGACUCUCCCUCUCCUCUCCCCUCCUCCUCUCCCUCCUCUCCCUCUCCUCUCCCUCUCCUCCUCUCCUCCUCCUCUCCCUCUCCUCCUCCCUCUCCUCUCCCUCUCCUCCUCCUCCCCCUCCUCUCCCUCUCUCCUCCCUCUCCUCUCCCUCAGACUCUCCCUCUCUUCUCCCUCUCCUCCUCCCUCUCUUCUCCCUCUCCUCCUCUCCCUCUCCUCUCCCUCUCCUCCUCCCCCUCCUCUCCCUCUCCCUCCUCUCCCUCCUCUCCCUCCCCUCCCUCCCCUCCUCUCCCUCUCCCUCCUCUCCCUCUCCUCCUCUCCCUCCUCUCCCUCUCCUCCUCUCCUCCUCUCCCUCCUCUCCCUCAGACUCUCCCUCUCUUCUCCCUCUCCUCCUCCCUCUCUUCUCCCUCUCUUCUCCCUCUCCUCCUCUCCCCUCUCUCUCUCCCCUCCUCUCCCUCUUCCUCCUCCUCUCCCUCUCCUCCUCCCUCUCCUCCUCUCCCUCCUCUCCCUCUCCUCCUCUCCUCCUCUCCCUCUCCUCUCCUCCUCUCCCUCCUCUCCCUCUCCUCUCCUCCUCUCCCUCCUCUCCCUCUCCUCUCCCUCUCUUCUCCCUCUCCUCCUCCCUCUCCUCCUCUCCCUCCUCUCCCUCUCCUCUCCCUCUCCUCCUCUCCCUCCUCUCCCUCUCCUCCUCCC